GUGUUGGUGCUGGGCAGGCCCCAGGCAGAACAAUGAGAAUAUGAGAAAUCAGGGUCCCCUGAGUUGGGGAUGGGAUCUUGGAGCCCCGGGGUGGGGGUCUGGCUGGAGGAGGAAGUGAUGGACGCGAGAGGGCCCCUCCUGAGGCUUGGGGAUUCUGCUGCCCAGCAAGCAGAGCUACCUGUAGGCUUGGACAGACCCUGCCGCCGAAGGGGGUGUACCCCUGUUGGCCACCCAAUGGAGCCCGAUGGGGUGGAGGCUCACCCGGGCCUUGCCUUCCGGGCUACCGCGGCUAAACGGCUUCCCCGCUCGGGGCGGGCAGCCCCCUCCCCGGCCCUGCGGCUGCACGCAGAAUCAGGCCAGCAUCUCUCCCCAGGCCCCAGCUCUUGGGCGUGGGCCCCAGGUGGGUUAGCGCUCGCCUGACAUAACCCGUUAGCGCCUCUCGCCUUGGCGGCUCCCCGCUCCGCCCGCCUCCCCGCUGACCCUCUCUGGGCUGCCUCACCAGGGCAGGGUGAGAAGGCAUCUGCAGGGUGACCAGCAGCCCCCCAAGGUCUGCAAGGAGGGCCGCUGUGCCCACCCCGCUCUCCUCCGCUCGGGCCCAGAGGCAGCCUCUAGGCUGAGAUUCCCAGAAGCCACUGCGGGCGGGGGAGGGUCUUCCAUCAGUCUGCCUCUGCCACCAUCUGACCCGCCAGAGGAAAAAGCAGAAAGAAGGAGGAAAGGACUUUCUGGGGCCAGGGGUGUCAUCGCUGGACAGCCCAGACUGGCCUGCUUUGCUCCACUGAUACUUUCUAACAACCUCUCCCACCCGGAGCCCUUUGCCCUUCUUGGGCGUGGACAUGGCAGCCGUCCUCACUGGGUACUUCAUUUGUUCGAGGGCAAGGGGAGAAUCAAACCGGAUGGGAAGGGCUUUCUGGAGGGGAGGUGCCUCCAGUCUUUUAUCAGACCCUGCGGACGUGGCCUUGCUUUUGCACGCUGCCCUGACCCCUUGGC
ensembl:lncRNA